UACGGGGGGGGCGAGCGUUGUUCGGAAUCACUGGGCGUAAAGGGUGCGUAGGAGGGCAGGUAAGUCAGUGGUGAAAUCUUUGGGCUUAACCCGAAAACUGCCGUUGAUACUAUCUGUCUUGAAUAUGGUGGAGGUGAGCGGAAUAUGUCAUGUAGCGGUGAAAUGCUUAGAUAUGACAUAGAACACCGAUUGCGAAGGCAGCUCGCUACACCUAUAUUGACUCUGAGGCACGAAAGCGUGGGGAUCAAACAGG
rnacentral:rRNA from 1 species